GCAGUCGUACGAUGACUCUCAUAGCUUGCUAGAGAUGAUUAGUGGCGGACGGGUGAGUAACAUUUAGGAAUCUACCUAGUAGUGGGGGAUAGCUCGGGGAAACUCGAAUUAAUACCGCAUACGACCUACGGGUGAAAGGGGGCGCAAGCUCUUGCUAUUAGAUGAGCCUAAAUCAGAUUAGCUAGUUGGUGGGGUAAAGGCCCACCAAGGCGACGAUCUGUAACUGGUCUGAGAGGAUGAUCAGUCACACCGGAACUGAGACACGGUCCGGACUCCUACGGGAGGCAGCAGUGGGGAAUAUUGGACAAUGGGGGCAACCCUGAUCCAGCCAUGCCGCGUGUGUGAAGAAGGCCUUUUGGUUGUAAAGCACUUUAAGCAGGGAGGAGAGGCUAAUGGUUAAUACCCAUUAGAUUAGACGUUACCUGCAGAAUAAGCACCGGCUAACUCUGUGCCAGCAGCCGCGGUAAUACAGAGGGUGCGAGCGUUAAUCGGAAUUACUGGGCGUAAAGCGAGUGUAGGUGGCUCAUUAAGUCACAUGUGAAAUCCCCGGGCUUAACCUGGGAACUGCAUGUGAUACUGGUGGUGCUAGAAUAUGUGAGAGGGAAGUAGAAUUCCAGGUGUAGCGGUGAAAUGCGUAGAGAUCUGGAGGAAUACCGAUGGCGAAGGCAGCUUCCUGGCAUAAUAUUGACACUGAGAUUCGAAAGCGUGGGUAGCAAACAGGAUUAGAUACCCUGGUAGUCCACGCCGUAAACGAUGUCUACUAGCCGUUGGGGUCCUUGAGACUUUAGUGGCGCAGUUAACGCGAUAAGUAGACCGCCUGGGGAGUACGGCCGCAAGGGUUAAAACUCAAUGAAUUGACGGGGGCCCGCACAAGCGGUGGAGCAUGUGGUUUAAUUCGAUGCAACGCGAGAACCUUACCUGGUCUUGACAU
rnacentral:rRNA from 1 species